rnacentral:lncRNA from 1 species
GGUGACUUUAGAGACAUGGGCUCCAACCCCUUAGCUCUGUCUGAGAAUUAUGGUUUUACUGCUACGUCUCUAACAGAAUCUUCUCUCCUGGUCUCCUUGAGCAGUGCUACUUAAACAGUUUUCACAGUUUCAUUGAUUGACUCUACCUCCUUGCCCCACACCACUUUUGCAAUCUUUAAACUUUCAGUGGCUGUGCAGAGUCGAGGGAGGAACCAGCUCUCUGGUUUACUGGAACAUAGUCUUCCAUCUAUACCACUAGGGUUUUGUCUUAUGUUUACUUUUGGUAACUCUCUUCCUUCUUUUUCUCCCUACCCCCCAACCCCUAGCCCAACCAAUGCUAGAAUUUCUCGCUCUGAAGGAGGAGCAGGUGAAACAGGUGGUAAUUUUCCUCCUCGGCCCCUAUUCUGGUUCAUUCAGCACUUUUUGGUGGGAACUGUUGGAAAUUCCAGGGUAAGGAGGAAGACGCCUGUUCUCCCUGUCUGAAGAGGGAGAUGAGAGAGCUCUCUGGACAGGAAUUAACAAACCCUGGAGCAGCUCAGAGGAAAUUGAUGUGAAAGAGGAGGGAAUGAGAUUAUUCGGAGGAGGGGAAUGGGGGAGACAGCCUGAGUAAAAGGCUUGGAAGUUGGAAUUAACAGUGGGGAGCAGAAGCACUCGUAGCUCUUUUAGGCAGAAGAAUCCAGGCCCAAGCUGGCAGAAGAGACUUAGAGAUGCUAAUGGAAUUUAAACUGAAGAAAGGAGCUCAAUGAAGCUAAGCGCCACGCCCCACAAGGGGUCAUAUUGGCUUUAGUUCCUCAAGCACAUGUGCUUAUAUGCACACACACACACAUUUCCAUGGACCCAGGUCUUGCUUGUGUCCCCAGGCACCAGUAAUUUGAGCCCCCCUCAAAAGACAUGAAGGGGGUUGGGGUCUGUGUGAGUAGUGGGGAGGUGCAUGUGUAUCCACAUGUGUGCAUACACUCUUAAGUUGGGUGGGAAGUGGAUUCCUUGUUGGUUUCUGGUUCAGAGUGCUCUCCCACCACCAGAGACAAGUGGGUAAAAAGGUCAGUCCAUUGCAGGAAUAUAUAUCUGGGAGAGCUAGGUCCCUUGGAGCUCUGGAUGCUGGGUAACCCAGAGGUAAUGUGGGUACCCUUUCUGAAGCUGUCAGGGCUGUGACUAGCACCCUUAUCACCCCUCACUGCCUUGUGGGAAUAGUAGAGGGUUUUUUUCCUCCAGAGCCCCUGGCCUUUCAGUUCUUAACUAUUUCCCUCCAGGCCAGAAAGUUUUCUUUGAGGAAGGAGAGGAGAGGGUGGCAAUGAUGCCUUUGAUCUGGAAUUGGACAUUGCUCUGUCAGAGCACAGAGGAGGCUCAUAUCACCUCUUCCCUCUCCUACUUGGCCCAGCUGCUUGGAGGACCGACCCCAUGGCUGAGAAUAUGACGGCAAGAGGAACAGAGUUUGCUCCAAGUGGGAAAGGGUCCCAAGCAGUCCAGAGAAGAUGUCUGUGUGGCUUUCCCUCCCUGCCUCCCCCAGCUCCCACACUGGCCUUUGUAAAUAAAUGGCGUGGUCUUUGUUGUGAAAAAAAAAA